rnacentral:rRNA from 1 species
GAUGAACGCUGGCGGCGUGCUUAACACAUGCAAGUCGAACGGAAAGGCUCCUGCUUGCAGGGGUACUCGAGUGGCGAACGGGUGAGUAACACGUGGGUGAUCUGCCCUGCACUUCGGGAUAAGCCUGGGAAACUGGGUCUAAUACCGGAUAGGACGAUGGUUUGGAUGCCAUUGUGGAAAGUUUUUCGGUGUGGGAUGAGCUCGCGGCCUAUCAGCUUGUUGGUGGGGUAAUGACCUACCAAGGCGUCGACGGGUAGCCGGCCUGAGAGGGUGUACGGCCACAUUAGGCCGGAGAUAAGACACAGACUCGUACGGGAGGCAGCGGUGGGGAGUAUUGCACAAUGGGCGCAAGCCUGAUGCAGCGACGCCGCGUGGGGGAUGACGGCCUUCGGGUUGUAAACUCCUGUCGCUAGGGACGAAGCGAUAGUGACGGUACCGGGAGAAGAAGCACCGGCUAACUACGUG